ACAACGUCACUACUGAUCACAUUCAACAGUAUCUUGAUGAAAACAAAUCACUGAUUUUGAAGAUUGUUGAGAGCCAGAAUUCGGGAAAAAUCAGCGAAUGUGCAGAGAACCAAGCAAGACUACAGAGAAACCUCAUGUAUUUGGCUGCAAUUGCUGAUUCUCAACCACAACCACCUACAAUGCAUGCCCAGUUCCCCUCCAGCAGCAUUUUGCAGCCAGGAGCACACUACAUGCAGCACCAACAAGCUCAACAAAUGACACCACAAUCCCUGAUGGCUGCAAGAUCUUCCAUGCUGUACACUCAACAACAGUUUGCAGCGCUGCAACAACAGCAAGCCUUACACAGCCAGCUUGGCAUGAUCUCUGGUGGAAGCCCAGGACUUCACAUGCUGCAAAGUGAGGCCAGCACUGCAGGAGGCAGCGGAGGGCUUGGCGCAGGAGGGUUUCCUGAUUUUGUCCGUGAUGCUGGUGGUAGGGGAAUGGCAGGUGGAAGUAAGCAAGAUAUUGGGACUGCAGGGUCUGCUGACGGGCGAGGGGGCAGCUCUGCAGGUGGGGGUAGUGAUGGAGGUGAAACUCUGUACUUAAAAUCGACUGAUGAUGGGAAUUGAGAGGUGAGAAAUGAUGAACCUACUGGUUUGUUAACAACCCAAUUUAGGAGAGUUUGGUCAGAAAGUUGAUUUAGAAAAGGAAAAUGGAAAGGACUUUUUGUUUAGAGAACUUAUUGUAUGACGUAAAAGGGAAAAAAUGGUGAGGGCCUAAUCCCCAAACCUUUGUCUUGGAUGUUUCAAUGU
rnacentral:misc_RNA from 1 species